UGAUGGAUCAAGUCUGGUUUUGGAGUUUAGUAAGUUAAGGGUUUUAUAAAAAGCUGAGUCGAGUUGGUUACAAGACGAGGGGGAGAUAGUGGAGUUAAGUGCUAGUGGUUGGUUAUGGACUUAUGUUAUGCCAAUGCAACAAGCGGGAACAGAAGAGGAUCACACACUCUGAAUCAGUUAGAGUAUUUGUCCUGUCCGGUUAAAGCCUGGUUCAGUUUUGGUUUAUGGUUAACAAACUCAGAUACUUGUAUAUGAAGGUGUAUGCAAGUACUCUUGCUAUUGCACAAAUGUUCGAUACACCACCCAACACAAAUCAGUUUUACAUGGAAGUAAAGGAUUAAAAUCUUUGCAAGUUUUUUUAUUUUAUAUAAAAAGUUGCUACCAAAACAAAUGCAUUGCUUUCCAAAAUUUUAAAUGUGAUAACUAUAAUGAUAUUUUAAAUUGCUUCCCUAUCAUUCAGCGGAAACAUAAUUAGAAGUUUCCACAUGACAGAAAUGCAUAAUGCAUUGAAGACCAUGCUUUAGGUUGGGUACAAAGGAUAUAUGUUCCUUAGUAAAAUUCCAAUAAAUAUGUCUGACCCAUGAACAUAGACAUAUAAAUAGUACAUCCAGAAAAUGUUCCACAAACACAUUAUUGUGUGCAUAUAGAUAAAUGUUACAUAUACUCAAUAAUUUUAUGUGAUUCGAUCAAUUUUGUUAGAGUAGAAAUACAAAUGUGGAUUCACCAUAUCUCAACUACCGUCUUCUAGCUACUACACCAUGUUGCUAUGUCAUGUCCAUUGAUAAUCAGAUACUUAAUCAUGAUCACAUACAUACAUGUGUAUGGUUUGGUUAGUAUAUUGAAGAUCUACAAUAUAAUAACGUAACGUACAAAGAGGCGGUGAUCUGGUGGUUAACGUAAAUUUGAGUUAAGAUUUUGAUUCUACUUUCAUGCAACACAAGAAACUGGAUGCAACCCGGUUGUGAAUUUCGGUUCAUGAUUCAUAAGAUUCCGCGACCUCAUGCAACAGUGGCUCACGUAUGAGUAAAGUAUCUCGUGGAAAUGGAAAUUAAUGGCGUAGACAUUGCCGGUCCUGGACAAAGCCGGAUGAAACAUUCGCGUAGGACCCUCAAUUUUUUUGAAAAAAUUACAUAUACAUAGGUCUCCAAAUCUUUUUAAAAAGUCCCCCAAAUUUUUUUAAAAAAACCUCCAAAUUUUUUUAAAAAAAAAUUUCAAUGAAAUCUUUCUAAAAAUCGCCUAAGGCCUCCAAAAUUUUAAGACCGGCCCUGGUUUUUUAUUUUUUUUUGCCGACGUUAAUUCUAGAUAGCUUUAACUUAUUGUAAUCACUUACAAUCCUGUAUCAUUUUAUUUUAUAUGAAAUUCACAAUUUGGCGCACAGAAAAAAAUUGCCGUAAAUUAAAAUCAUCUCGUUGGUUAAUAUUAAUCAGGACAAAAUUAUUUAAAAUUUUGCUUGCAGUAUAUAAUGAUUGAUGAUAUAUAUUCCCACUAAUAACUGUUACCAAUUACAUAAUCAGAUUGGGGAAAUCUUAUGUAGUUAUAAGCUGAGUUGUUUGAUCUCUUAUAAGAAAUAUCUUGUUCAAGAUUUUAUUUUAGAUUCAUCAUAUUUAUAUACAAACUCACACAAUGAUAUUUUCUUAUAAUUAACCUUGAACUCAUCAGUAAGCUAUUGUUUAUAAUUUGGUAAUUUGUCGUUAUUUCAAAAGGCUUUUUUUCUUGCAUUAUUAAUUUUCCUAAAUACCCUACCACAUGGCGAUCGUUACACCAAAAUUCAAGUUCACCCAAGAAACGUAAUCAUUUUGAUUGCGAUUAAAGAACAAAUUACACUAAUGUCCGUUCUACUUGAUUAGGUAUAUGAUUAAUCUCUGUAUGCUUUUUCUAAACUCAAUAUACAAUAGUAUAUCCAUGAAAAUAAAUUAAUGAAAAAAUAUGUUUAAAAAGUAAUGCAAAUAAUUUGUCAAACUGAGAUAAACUUUAAUACAACAAGGUCGGCACGCCGAAAUUCCUAGAUAAAACAAAGCCUACCCAUACUAGCUUUUAAUUAAUUAACAUAGUUUCGAUUGUUUUUUGUUUACAUUUUUGUGCUUGGCCCUCUUCAAUCAAGGAAACAUUGUUUAUUAUCAGUCGAACCAUCAACCAUGUGCUGAAACUCUCCUCUUAACAGUCUCAAUCAAUCCUAUAGAAAUCUGAUUUAUCCAUUGUUGGCACACUUUCAUGGCUUUUAUUAUUGUAUAUUAAUUGUCUCUACAUUAUUAUUUUACAAACAUUAACCAAAAUAUAUUUAAAAGAGGAAGACUUGUAAUUGUAAAAGCAACUGCACAUGCAAGUAUGUAUGCGGUUUUGUCCUUUUCUUGACAUCUUGUCUCUUAUAUAAACCACUCAAAUGUUUCCAUGUCUAUGUAUCCCAAAGCUCGAGAGAAAACAUAAGUGAAAGAAAAAAACUCCACAAAAAUCAAAUCAGAAAAAAAUGAUGAAGUUCAAGUCCAAGAGAUUUGGCAUUAGAUUUGGUUUUGGUAAAAGAACCAACAACAAAAGCACACAACAAGAUCAACAACAAAAAGGAUUUGGUAAUAACAACACCAAUAGUAGCAGCAGCAACUAUGAGAUCAAAUGGGAACUCAGGCCAGGAGGUAUGCUUGUUCAAAAGAGACAAGAGAGCAUUGGUGAAGACUUGAUCUCCAUAAGAGUCUCUACUUUUUCUCAUUUUCAUGAUCUCUCCAUUGAAGCCACCUCCACCUUUGGUAAAUUUCACAUCUCUCAACUUUUCUGAAUCUUUAUGGUACAUCUGGUAGACUUAUAUAACAAUAAAAGAUUUAAUAGACUAUAUGCGGGUUUACAAUAAACAUAGUUUAUUAGAAUUAUAAACAUAGUUUAUUAGAAUUACAAAAGUUUGAAACUAUAUUAUAAUUUUUCUUAUUAAAAACUAGAAAGUCAUUCUAAAGUAUGAAAUAAAAAUUAAUGAAAAAAUUCGAAAUCAUACAAAAAAUUGUGACAUUGCAACUGAUUUAUACUUGUGGAUUUACAGGGGAACUUAAGAUGGUACUAGCAUUGCUUACUGGUCUCGAGCCAAAACAACAACGGCUAUUAUUUAAAGGGAAAGAAAGAGAGGAUGAUGAAUAUCUACACAUGGUUGGUGUUGGAGAAAAAGACAAAGUCUUGUUGUUAGAAGAUCCUGCCUUCAAAGAGAAAAAGCUUCUUAACAACAUUUCCACUUCUUGCCCUACUAUAAUCGUAUAAACACCUAAACAAGUUUGUCAAAUUAAUUGUUUGUUAACUUCUUGGCGAAACAUAAAACCAGCCAAGAAUAAUAACUAGAUACAAAUUUUCCAUGUAGUCGUUCUAUUUCGAAGUUGUAAAACUAAUAUGUUUACAUGUUGUAAUAUAUUUGGUACGUACUUUUGAUCAUUUUCUUUUACUUCUAAUUAGGUACAUGCUGAAGAGUGAAAACAACAAAUAUGAAGUACUCAAUUGAGGAUAUCCACUACCAUUAUUGUUAUUCGUAUGUGGUGCGAAUUAGUUGAUUUUCUACUAAUUGAACUUAAAACGGGCAAACAAACCGAAACUUCUGCAUAACCGAGCUGGUCAAGACCCUAUACAAACCAAAACCUUUCAUUUCUCGGUAUACUCCGGUUAUGGCCUUAACUUCUCAAAAAGUUACAAAGUAACAUUAUUAUACCAAAUAUCCGCCACUUGGUUAUUUUAUAAGACUAGUAUGUCCACAAACCACAAGUCUAAACCAUCAAUUUAUAUAUUAGUGGUUUACAAAUCGUCUCUCUUCACAAACCGGCCCUGAAAAGAGAUGAACCAAAACCAAUACCUAAUUAGAACCAGCAGUUUCACGCAUCAACCCAAUCUAGUUCUCAAUCUUACAUAUAUUACUGUAGCCAUCACGCUUAUACAAGGUGUGUAAAAUGUUGAAAAGAAAAGAAGGGAAGCUUACUUUAACACGAGGACGUUUCUCAGCGUUGAGUUUACGAACUUGGUAUCGAAUCCGUUUAGAGAAAAGGCGACUUUGUCGUUUCUCUUUAUACCGUAGCAAGCUCGCUUCUCUAUGCCCUCUCCAUAACGUCUCCGUCGUCUCCAUCUCCGGCACAGUCCAUAAACUCCCUGCCUCUCCGCCGCCGGUAACCACCUAAACAACCAUCAAAACACACUUGCCUAGUAUCAAAUCUUUCUUAUCCAGCUUAGAUUAAUUUUGACGAUAACAACGAUGACCAAAAUAUACAAUAUUUUACAAUUGGGUGCAUUUGUCAUGUAUAUACCAUAUGAUUUAAUAAAGCUCGAUAGGUUUCAUGAUUUGAUAAAUGUUUUUUAUCAAUCUAACAGUUAUGUAGAAAAUCAACAUGUACAAGUAUUAUCAUUUAUUAGGGUUACAGAAAAUUUUUCAAAAAAAAUCAUUAUGCGGUUACAUUUUCAGUUUAUAGGCAAAGCUUUCAAUAUGAUACUAGAACUUUCAACGUAAUAAAUUUAAUUAGGCUAUCAUCAUUACAGUUUCAAGAAAAAACUCGUGACCACAUCAAAAUUUUCACCGCUUUUAAUAGGUCAACUUAAUUAGUUACAUUAAGCAUUAACUACGAUUUAAUUUAUAUCAACUUAAUUAUACUCGUUCUGUUCCUAAAUAUAGGAUGUUUAGAAUAGUUUUUAUGUUCCAAUAUGCAGGAUGUUCUCAUAUUUCUAGGUAGUUUAAGUUUAUCAAAAACUCUGUUACCAAUCAAACUUAAUAGUUCUAUUUUGUAAUUGGUUGAAUAGUUUUAAAUUUAAAAUUUUAAUAAUACUUUUUAGAUAAAAACUAAAUUUCUUAAUAAGUGUAUUUUACCUAAAAAAUCUUAUAUUUAGGAAGGGGGGGGAGGGGGAGUAUAAUUUAAGCAUUAAUUACGAUAUAUAAACAUGAUAUAAAGAGAUGUUUACUUACAUCAGCAGAAGCAUGCAAGUCCGGCACCGUCUGCGGCGGUUCUCCGUCGACAUAAAGAGUACCUUUAUCCGGCCAAGCCUCCAUGAUCUGCUCAUAAUCAAGCUUCAGAGCCAGCGAAGUCCUUCCAUCGUUUCCAUCUCCGCCGCAACACCGUGGAGUUCCGCUCCGACUCAUCACCUCGUCCACAACCUCCGAAUAACUCACCCACCGCUCCGCCGUAGCUUCCUCCUUGCUCGCUCCUUUCCUCAUCGCCGUCCGUAGAAGCGAAGAAGUAGACGUUGAUCCACGCUCUUUAAUGUCGUACGGAGACAUGUCCCUUCCUCCUCCGCCGCAAUCUACAUCUUCUGCGGAGGAAGGGAGCAGAUCGUGAAUCGAAGAGAUUGUGCUGUUGUCGGUGGUGGAGUUGAAGAGGUAAGCCGCCACGGUGUCGUAUUGAUCUUCUUCUUUCUCCCCUUCUCCCACUGUCUCCAUUCUCUUCUUCUCAGCACCUCCUCUCGUCUUGCUCUGCUUCUUCUUGUUCGUCGUGGUUACGGGACUCUCGUCGAUCUCGUGAGAAGUGUUGAGUUCGAGCUUGAGACUGAGACUGAGGAACUUUGGUUUCUUUGUCUUUGUUCUGAUCUGCUUACGAGACGUUUCAAGAUUCGAAGGAGAGCUAUCAUCCAUGGCUAUGUGUUUCCUCUUCUUGAUCCUCUUCGAUGUUCUCGUACUCUGUUUUUCUUCUCCGACCACAGGACAAGGUUCACUACACAUCUUUGAUCCCUCUUACACUGUAUAAUUGUGUGUUUCUCUCACUCUUAAUUAACUUGUUCUCUGUUUUGUAAUAGAAAGAAUGUAGGUGGAGGGAAAAGGAAAGCUGAUCGUGAUGUUACUUUGACACGUGUCGAUCAUUAAUUCGAUAAAACUAUUGUAAUCUUGGAUUCUGUUUGGAUGUGCAGGGUUUCAACAUUUCAGACACGGCAACAUUCAUAGAGUUCACGGUAGAUCUUAAUUCAAAAAGGUUUGGGAUAUUGAGUACCAAGUCUGGGCUUGGGUUGGACGUGCCUAGAAGGUCUGGAGCCUUCUAUAUCCGAACAGGUACGAUCUGGACCGUUGAUUGUAAUCGAUGGAAAAGAUCUGUCCCAGAAGGAUGUUCACGCAUCAACCCAAUCUAGUUCUCAAUCUUACAUAUAUUACUGUAGCCAUCACGCUUAUACAAGGUGUGUAAAAUGUUGAAAAGAAAAGAAGGGAAGCUUACUUUAACACGAGGACGUUUCUCAGCGUUGAGUUUACGAACUUGGUAUCGAAUCCGUUUAGAGAAAAGGCGACUUUGUCGUUUCUCUUUAUACCGUAGCAAGCUCGCUUCUCUAUGCCCUCUCCAUAACGUCUCCGUCGUCUCCAUCUCCGGCACAGUCCAUAAACUCCCUGCCUCUCCGCCGCCGGUAACCACCUAAACAACCAUCAAAACACACUUGCCUAGUAUCAAAUCUUUCUUAUCCAGCUUAGAUUAAUUUUGACGAUAACAACGAUGACCAAAAUAUACAAUAUUUUACAAUUGGGUGCAUUUGUCAUGUAUAUACCAUAUGAUUUAAUAAAGCUCGAUAGGUUUCAUGAUUUGAUAAAUGUUUUUUAUCAAUCUAACAGUUAUGUAGAAAAUCAACAUGUACAAGUAUUAUCAUUUAUUAGGGUUACAGAAAAUUUUUCAAAAAAAAUCAUUAUGCGGUUACAUUUUCAGUUUAUAGGCAAAGCUUUCAAUAUGAUACUAGAACUUUCAACGUAAUAAAUUUAAUUAGGCUAUCAUCAUUACAGUUUCAAGAAAAAACUCGUGACCACAUCAAAAUUUUCACCGCUUUUAAUAGGUCAACUUAAUUAGUUACAUUAAGCAUUAACUACGAUUUAAUUUAUAUCAACUUAAUUAUACUCGUUCUGUUCCUAAAUAUAGGAUGUUUAGAAUAGUUUUUAUGUUCCAAUAUGCAGGAUGUUCUCAUAUUUCUAGGUAGUUUAAGUUUAUCAAAAACUCUGUUACCAAUCAAACUUAAUAGUUCUAUUUUGUAAUUGGUUGAAUAGUUUUAAAUUUAAAAUUUUAAUAAUACUUUUUAGAUAAAAACUAAAUUUCUUAAUAAGUGUAUUUUACCUAAAAAAUCUUAUAUUUAGGAAGGGGGGGGAGGGGGAGUAUAAUUUAAGCAUUAAUUACGAUAUAUAAACAUGAUAUAAAGAGAUGUUUACUUACAUCAGCAGAAGCAUGCAAGUCCGGCACCGUCUGCGGCGGUUCUCCGUCGACAUAAAGAGUACCUUUAUCCGGCCAAGCCUCCAUGAUCUGCUCAUAAUCAAGCUUCAGAGCCAGCGAAGUCCUUCCAUCGUUUCCAUCUCCGCCGCAACACCGUGGAGUUCCGCUCCGACUCAUCACCUCGUCCACAACCUCCGAAUAACUCACCCACCGCUCCGCCGUAGCUUCCUCCUUGCUCGCUCCUUUCCUCAUCGCCGUCCGUAGAAGCGAAGAAGUAGACGUUGAUCCACGCUCUUUAAUGUCGUACGGAGACAUGUCCCUUCCUCCUCCGCCGCAAUCUACAUCUUCUGCGGAGGAAGGGAGCAGAUCGUGAAUCGAAGAGAUUGUGCUGUUGUCGGUGGUGGAGUUGAAGAGGUAAGCCGCCACGGUGUCGUAUUGAUCUUCUUCUUUCUCCCCUUCUCCCACUGUCUCCAUUCUCUUCUUCUCAGCACCUCCUCUCGUCUUGCUCUGCUUCUUCUUGUUCGUCGUGGUUACGGGACUCUCGUCGAUCUCGUGAGAAGUGUUGAGUUCGAGCUUGAGACUGAGACUGAGGAACUUUGGUUUCUUUGUCUUUGUUCUGAUCUGCUUACGAGACGUUUCAAGAUUCGAAGGAGAGCUAUCAUCCAUGGCUAUGUGUUUCCUCUUCUUGAUCCUCUUCGAUGUUCUCGUACUCUGUUUUUCUUCUCCGACCACAGGACAAGGUUCACUACACAUCUUUGAUCCCUCUUACACUGUAUAAUUGUGUGUUUCUCUCACUCUUAAUUAACUUGUUCUCUGUUUUGUAAUAGAAAGAAUGUAGGUGGAGGGAAAAGGAAAGCUGAUCGUGAUGUUACUUUGACACGUGUCGAUCAUUAAUUCGAUAAAACUAUUGUAAUCUUGGAUUCUGUUUGGAUGUGCAGGGUUUCAACAUUUCAGACACGGCAACAUUCAUAGAGUUCACGGUAGAUCUUAAUUCAAAAAGGUUUGGGAUAUUAUUAUGUUUAGAGGCACCAACAUAAAAAUAAAAUUAACAGGCCUUAGGCCUGACUGAAUUGUUCAAACGCAGCGGUGCGGGAGUUUGCGGACUUGGGUAGUUGCGGUUUCUAGUGGCUUUAAGAGAUUUCGUACGAUUGGUUCAGCGGUUAGAAAUUGGUGCGUUUGCGGAAUAUUUAUGACUGAUUAACUAACAAAUGCAGCAUCGGUUAAAUAAUAAAUUAAUAAUAUUUAUAUUUUAUAUAAUUAUAAAAAUAUCAAAAAUCAUAUUCUUAUAAUAAAUAGAAAAAAUAUAUUUAGAAAAUUAUAGUUUUAAAUUUUAAAAAAAUAUAGAAAAUAUUUUUAUUUUUAAAUUUUCUAAUAUUAAUAUGUAAUAGAUAUAUUUUAGUAUUUUUAUAAUUCCAAUUGAAUUUUUUUAUUUUAUAUUUAUAUUGUUCAAAAAAGAAAUAAAAUUUAUCUUCCCGUAACCGUCCGAAACUGUAACCCGCCGCAACUGCAAACGCUAGUUGGAACUAACUUUUGAUUUUAUGAGAUUUAGAACGGUUUGAAGCGGUUUGAGUGAGUGUUAUAAAACACCAACAACUGUUACCAACCGCAAAAACUGUGUUUGUGGGUGGUAGCGGAAAAACUAGUCGUACCCUUAGUCCAAAAAAACAAACGUGGUUAUAAUGAGAUUUUUCGAGCGCUGAAAAUAUACGUUUGAGGUGAUAUAAUAUCUUACGACUUUUCUUCCGUGAGAGGAUUGCAUCUGCAUUAUUAUUAUUCCACGCUGUCAUCGAACGCAAGUAAACUGUAGAACUGAUAUUAAUAAAUAAAUUUCAAAAAAUGCGAAUCCAAUUCAUCAUAAAUUGACAAGAGGGAUAUAUCAUUUGAGGUUCCGAAUGGUAAAAUUAGUUCAAACAAAACAGAUCAAGUAGAUCAUACAGAUCAAGCGGAACAAGUACAGAUCAAGUGGAUCAUACAGACAGAUCAAUUAGAUCAAACAAUUAUUAUAGUUUAGAAUGAUAUAAACAGUCAAAACACUUAAUAUAGAAAUAUAAUACAUAAACAACAAUAAAUCUUGUACUAAAACCAUGUUACUGCAAUUUUGAAAUCAAAAUAUGAAAACAUUGAACUUUGAUGAAAUAUAUAUAUAUAUAUCUUCCACUAGUAUACAUAUUUAAAUUAUAUUACUAUAUUUUGCAUAAUACAUACUAUAAAUAUAAUAAUUUAAAUAAAUUUAAAAUUAUAUGAUGAAAAUAGAAAGAUAAAUAUAUAAUCAAUGAUAGUUUUUAUGUUGUUAAAGUUAUAAUUAAGAUAGAAUGAAAAUAUUGUAUUUAUAAAGAUAAACAACUAUAUUAAAAAAAAUUACUUGCAGAACUCCCGCAAACAACAUCAAAUGUAUAGCAAGUGAUUUUCUUUUUUCACAAAAAAGACAAGAAAAAUUAAACUGCAUACAGAUCUUCCGCUAGCAAUAUAAAAAUAAAAACAGUUGAAUGGUAAAUGCAGUGCGGGAGAACUGCUUGAGUGGGAGAACUGCCUUUGUCCCACCCUUCUAUUAGAACACUGAAUUGUGGGAUUUAUCGUAAAUGUUGCUACCACCGACAGCAAUGACUUGUGAAGUGAUUUAUAGUACAGAAGCAUCCUGAACAAUUACUGACAUUAUUUGAUGACACCUUCCGUAUCGUAUAUAUAAUAGAUUUUCAUUCUAUGAUUUAACAUUCGCGUGAAAUAAAAACAAAUUCUAUAACAUUAUUUUGGGCUUACGGUGCUUGAAGGAAGCCCAAAUUAAAAACCCAAUAUUUUGGCUAAUUUAACUCAGCUGUUUGCUUAAGAGUCAAGGCAUGCUCACACCCAAAUAAACUAUUGAACAACUAAUAAACAAAACAAAAGCAUUAGAAUUGCAAUCAAGAUCAAAUGUUCUUGUUCUGUAACAAUUAUAUGUACGUUUUAUUCAGACCGUACUCUAUCCAUUCUAUCAACACUCUUCCUCCCUCUCUCAAUCUGAUGAUUAUGGCCAACGCUCUUCCUUGCCUUGUCGUGGAGGUCAACGCUCCUCCUCGACCGAUCUAAAUGCUGCUCGAAAGUGAGUCUCAGCUUACUCUUCUUGGAAGGACCCUUUAGCGGUUUCUCUUUCUCCCUUCUAUCGACGCUUUGCCUUGGUGGCUUCUCUCUUCUAUCUACGCUCUGCCUCGGCAUUUCCACAUCGCUGCUCUGGUUCUCUGAAUGGCACGUGCUCUCCCUCGAGGAGAGAGGUCUCUCUACGGCUGUCAUGAAUUUCUUAAGGUGUUUGAUGUAUUCAGGGUAGUGUUCUAGAUCGCAAUGGCUACCACCUUCGAGCCAAAGCGGUUCAUACUUCUCUUUAGAGAGUUCCCAUAGCUGUUUUCCAUGGGAACAGUCAACAACUUCAUCUGAAGUUCCCUACAACAAGAUGAAUAAUCCACCAAAGAGAGUUAAAGACACUUAUAAAAAAACAAGAACAGAGAGAGAUAGGCUGUGAUUUCGAAUCGAAUCCGCCCAACCGAACAAAAUUUUUGGUUAGUUCAGUUAGGAGUUCGAUUCGAUUCAGUAUUUUUUUCAAAUCAUAACCAAAUCAUACCACAAAAUUGAACUAAACUAACCGAACUAACCAAACUUAUUUCAAAUUUAAUAAAAUUAAACCAAACUCUAACCGAAAUAAUAAAAAAAUGGGUAGAAUUUUCAAAAAAACUAACCGAAUAACAAAUCGAAAUUUAUUUUGGAUAACUCGGUAAAAUUUAUGUUAAACGAAACUACUCAAACCAAAUAACCAGAACUACCCAAACCCGCAUGCCUAGAGAGAGAGAGAGUUGGAUAUGUAACUCACGUGAAUGACAAGAACCGGGCAAUUCACAAGUGUGAUCUUGUCGAUGUUCUGCACAAAAAUAAAAGAAAGCAUAAACCUGCAACUGUAUGAUCCAUGAAAGAAUGAUGUAUUUUAUUACCUUGUAGAUGUCAAACCAGUAAGUCUUUUUCACUGGAUACAUUACUCUAAGGCCUGAAAGAAUCGGGCUAUGGAGAACAGCAGCUCUCAACUGAGGCAACCGAGCAGCGAGAUCUAAUGUAGGUCCACUUCCUACAGAUUGGCCAUAAAGGAUUACGUCUUCCUGUUUUGUUCCGUAGCUCUCUUCAAGACAUUUAUAAGCAGCUUCUAUAUCAGCAUAUGUAUGGCUCUCACUCGGCUAAAGUCACAGACACACACCAAAAAAAAAAAGAUUAUUAUAAUUAGUUAUAUAGCUAUUAUCAAUACUCUCAUAUGUUUGUUAAGGACAAACAAACCUUUCCAGUAGACUGUCCAUACCCUGAGUAAUCAUACCUGCAAGAAGAAUACAGAAAAGCAAAACAUUUUACGAAGUUGAAUCAAGCUAAGGAAGGAUCUGAAUCUUGGUUUGUAAUUUUCAAUGCUAGGAAUGAUCUCAAGUUGAGAGAUGUAUUUCUCAUUAAGAUCAUUCUGAACUAAAGUUUCAGACACAAGCAGAAACAUACAGAUUAACAAUAGAAGGCUAAAACCCCAAUGAACAAUAUAUACAGAUUAGACCCAAAACAUCUUAAACAAAAAAAGACUUAAAAGAAGAACCAACAUUCAGACUUUCAUGACAAACAACAUAACCACAAGCCUGAUCAGGAAGCAAAGUAAUAGACUUGAAUAGUCACAUAACCACCCAAAAAGAACCAAUCAAACAGUGAACCAGAAGCAAUCAAUAAGGAAACAAAUCUCCAAAUUUAACCAGAAAUAAAAAAAAGUAGAAACACCAAAACCAAACAUGAAAGCAAGCUAAAAAUUUUUAUACACAGACAAAAACAGAGUAGCUUAUACAGAGAGCAACAGUUUAGGAAGAAACAGAGGUAAAGACUGGAACUUUAAACAUACCCCAUAAGAUUAACCUUGAGAUGGAUGCUGAGCUCGAUGAAGAGCUCAUACAUCUGUCCCAGAUCGGCUGCGUUUCCAUGUGAAUAAAGCAGAGUAGAGGUAGCCAUCGGGUGUCUCACGUGCACAGCUACGAUCUCUGUUCCUUUACGCGUCGGAAGCUUUAAGACUUCCACGUUUUCGCGGUGAGGAAACGGGUUCAUCAGAAGAAGUCCCGUCACUUCGUCGGAGACGAGCCUGUAAGACGACGGACUCGGCGGACAAAAAGCUAACUUCGCCGCAAUUGAUGACGUCACCCCUCCCAUCUCUUUCUCUCCCUCUGCUUCGCUUCACAGUUCCCUUAAACUGUUAGACGAAGAACAUUUUCUUCAGCUAUCGAAGAGAGAGGAUUAAGGAAGAAAAAGUGGCGCUUGAAUGGGUAAAGAAGGAGAAUGAUAAUUAAAAAAUGUUAUUGAAGUUUGGCUUUUAAAAAAAAAAAUUAAAUCGAUGAUAAGGAAUACUUAUUACACUGUAAAAUGUUUUUCUGUGAUACUAAAAGAGGAUAAAUGAUUACAAGUACAGAGAGGUGCAGACAAGAUGGAGCUUAUGUCAAUGGAGGUUAUAUCACUAAAGUCAGAUACAUGUGGACAAGUACUGAAAAAAAGGUUACUUUUCUGCAGGUAAAAGGAGGGUUUUAGACUAAUAAUUCAGCGUUGGUGGAGUGCUAAAUCAUAGGUUAUGAUUAAAACAUGUAUAUAUUUUGGGAGCACCAAAUUUAAGAGCGAAGGAUGAAUGGCACAAUGAAACUUUAUAACUGAUUUGAACAAGGACGUUACAAAAUGAAGAUGAUAAAACAUUAAGUAAUACUAAUACUAGUAAGCAAAAGCUUGACAAAAGAAAAUACUAGUAAGCAAAAGAUGUAGUAUAAUUUUGUAUUAAAAUCAUAAAAUGUAAAGGAGUAUGUUGGUUUGGUUUGGUUUGGUUCAUGGGGGUCCAUGAUAGAUAAGAAGCUGAAAGCAAGUUUGGGAGUGAUGGGUCUUCACUCACGCUGUCACGCUGUCACGCAGUCACGCCUUAUGUGACAGCUUGAAAAUAUUUGAUUUUGGUUAUUUUAAUUUCUGUCUGGGUAACAAGAAUUUCUAUACUUCUUGUUUUGGGAAUAUAUUUUGCUAGUUUUAUAUAAAUUAUAUAUAAAUGUUUUAAAAAAAAAUCUUAAUUACUAUAAAGUUUGAGAAAAUAUAAGUUUUCAUAACAUGCUUGCUAAAAAAAGUUAACCGGGAAAUAAAAAAAACUUGGUACAAUCGAAAGGCUCUACAAAGGCCACCCACAUGCAUGACCAAGUCUCAUACAAACUAUACAACGAAAGCAAACCUCUAGAAAAAAACGAGUUUGGAUGUACAAAUUUUAAUUGGGCCUUCGUCCAGAGUAGCUUAUUGGCGUGGUCCUCGUGUCAACAAGUGAAGCUGCUUAUCCUUUUUAUAGACACACAAAAUACACACACAUGCUUUUUUUUUUUUUUUGAAAAGAAAUACACACACAUGUUUAGUUAUCUUUUUUUUUAUUAAUUAAUUUUUGUAAUGGCAAAAUAUAUAAUUAUAUAUACAUCCUCAUAUAUAUGAUAUUAGGAAAUUUAAUAUCUGAUUUAGUAAUAUCAGAUUUUUUUUCCUAAAAAGAAAUCUAACUAUUAAAGCAAAAUCCCUACAAAAAUUUUUGUCUUUGAGUUUUUAAGUUAAUUACAAUGGCAUGCCAUUUUCUUAUUAGAAUAAUUAGUUAUUUUCUCACUUUUAAAUUCAACCAAUCAAAAAUAAGCUUUUAAUACUAAUAUCUUUAAUUCAAUUAAUAUGAGAUUUAUUAACCUAUUCUCUUCACGAAAUAUAUACAUAUUUCUUUUUAUGGUUUCAUGUUCCAAAUCAACUAACCUAGAAAACAUUUAAUAGCAAAUAAUGCAUAUUUUUUUAGAACUUAGUAUAUUGAAUUUGACCAUAUCCAUAUAAUGGGUCAAGAUGUCAUCGGUAAAAACAUAAAUAUUCAUACGUUUUUUUAUAUUGAAAUUUGACCAUAUGAAAUUGUUUUAAUUGUAUGACACCAAAUUUAUUUCUCGUUUAUAUCUUUAAUAAACCGGAUCUAUUAUACUCCCUCCGUUUCAAAAGAGAAGAUGUUUUAUGGAGUUUUUGAUGUUUCAAAAUAGAUGAUGUUUUCAUAUUUCAAUGUACUUUUUAACUUUAUCAAAAUCUAUGUAACCAAUCAUAUUUUAUAGUAUGUUUUGUGAUUGUUUUGUGAUUGGUCGAAUAAUUUUUAAUUUAUACUUUAAUGAUAUUUUUUAGAUAAAAAACAAGUUUCUUAACAGUUGUGCUCCAUCCUAAAACUUCAUGUAUUUUGAAACAGAGAGAGUAAUUAUCUAGAGGUGGGCAUUUUACCCGAUACCCGAACCCGUAUCCUAAUCCGACCCGAAAAACCAUAGCAAAAUACCCGAACGGAUAUUGAUUUAGGAGAGAUUGGAUAUCCCAAUCCAAACGGAUAAUAUCCGAACCCGAAUGGAUAUCUGAAAAUAACCGAACAUAUGUAUACUUACCCUUAUAUUUCUUGUUUACAUCUCUCAUUUUAUUUCAAAUUAAAUAUCUAUAUUGAUGUUACACAUACUUUAAGAUCAUAUAAUACUAGUAUUAUCACCCCGUGCUAAGCACGGGUCAAUUUGUGCUUGCAAUUAAAUUCUUUUAAAAAAAUAAAAUUAUAGUGUUCUUUAUUGUUUAUUUUUUUGGUAAAAUUUAGUGUUCUUUAAAACUAAAAUAAAAUAAAAAUUUACAAUGAACAAAUGUUAUUGUGAAUCAUAAACAGAAAAUUAAAAUUUGUUGUUACAUCUUAAACUGUCCAAUAUAUAUAUAGACCUAAAAUAUUUGAUUUUCCAAAAUCAAAAUCACUACGGAGAACAAACUGAAAGAAUGGCUUGCACCAGCAAGAUUAAAAUACCAACCUUAGUUUUGUGGAUAAUUGACCUCUCUAUUAUCUUUGUAGUUUUUCCGUCUACUUCUAUAACUUUUUUUUUUGUUUUCUUUCAGUUUUGCUUUUACAUUUCUUCAUCUUCAAUAACAUACUUUCUCCAACGUUUUUUUUUGUUUUAAGGAAAAUCUAGAUUUUGGUAACACUAUAAGAAAAAUAAAACAAAAGUGUAUCAAUGUUGAUCUGUUGAUCAGAAGGUAAACAUAAAAUAAUGUAACCACAUUUUUGUAAGAUUAUAAAUAAAUAAAAUAAAUAUAAGGAAGACCAAAGUUUUGUCUAUCCUAUCACCCGAAUUUUGUAAGCCUUAUUUGUUACCUUGUAGUUAUCACCACAUUUUUUUCUUCUAGUGUUGCUUCCAAAGUUUCUUUAAGACCUUGCAAGUGCGCUAUAAAAAGACUAGCUCUUACUCUCUCUCUGAAUUAUCACCACCAUGAUAAAUAAACAUAUAUAUAUUACAGCAAAACUGAGAACUGAUUUAGUCUAUUUUGAAAAUCUUAUUGACUUGUUUUGUUUAUGUUUCCAUUUUCAUGUAGUAUCUGCCAAUAUCUAAAAAACUAUAUGUAGAUUAGAAGAGGAAGAGGUUUAUGGAAAACGAAAUUCAACAUAAAACAAAUUUGAUUCGAACAUGAAGAAUUCAGGGGUUUUCAAUCUUACUAACCUGGAAUUUAUGUUCAUCUCCAAACUUUGUAGUGAAGCUCCGUUUAUCCGUCCACAACAAAUUUCUGUUUUCUCAAUACGUUGAAUUUUUUUUUUGAAUUUUUUUAUUGUGCCACCUUUUGGCUAUAGACUAUGUUUAUAUGGAUCUACAAUUGUUGAUUCGACACUGUAGAUACACGACCAUUAGAAGUUUUCAUCACACUCUAGAAAUUAAAGAGCCAGGAAUCUUUUCAAAGAAUUUGAGAAUUUAUAAUUUUGAAAGCAAAUAGAAAUGAUUUAAAGUUUAUGGCAUCAUGAGUUAAAUAUUUUAUAGGGAAAAAGAUUAACGGUUUUCAAAUCGUGAAAUCGUGGUGUUGUGUGAGAAAUUUUAGGGAUUUUUUAAUUUUAUAUAGAUAUAAGUUAGAGAAAAACGAAACUGUUUUUUUUUCUUUUAUUUAAUUUGUGAAAAAUAAUUUUCAGGUGUCACAAUUUUAUUGAUUGAGUGACUUGUGCUUUAGUAUAUAAGGGAUAUACAUAUAAUUACGGCGAAAACGAUUUGUCACUCAAUUAAAAUGCAUGUCAAGUUUUUUUGUAUUAUGUAUUAACAAAAGUUACAUUCAAAAUUUUAAAACAAUAACUAGAUUAAUGUUUAUUUAUUUUUGAAAUGUUAUCUUCAAAUCUAUCAAUCAUUCAAUCUAUUAAAAAAUAAAAAAAUAGUUAAGUGAAAUCUAUAUUUUUAAAUAGAAUAAACCUAAAAAUGAAAAAAAUUUAUUUUUAUUUUUCAAAAUCUCAAUAUCCGAACCCGACCUGAAAUAACCGAACCCGAACUAAAAAUACCCAAACCCGACCCGAAUUACAGAAAUACCCAAACGGGUUCUAUGCCCCUAUGCUGAAAUACCCGAAAAUCCGAAAUACAUGACUCGAACCCGAACGGGUAUCCGAACGCACACUCCUAAUAUUACCCGUAAAAAUAGAUCAGUUUAUUAUUUUAGUUAGUUUUCUAUAUUGCCAUAUCUUUAAAGAUGAGAAUCAUUAAUUCAAAACACAUGUAGUUGUAGGUUUUUUCCUUUCUUUCAUUAGAUAAAUUAUUUGAACAAGAUUAUACUAACAAACUAGGUGUUCUGCCCGCAUGCGGGCAUCGUGUUAUCUGUUUAUAACUAUUAAAUCAAAACCAACAUAAUAAAUUAUUAAUUAUGUUUUUAAGAAGAUAAAUCAAACAUUAAACUUUAGAUUUUAUAAUAAAAAAUAUUAUUUCAGAUAAAACACAACAUAUUUAAGAAUUAUCUUAUGUUUUAAAAUAUAUUUUAUUUAACUAUAAAUUAUUUUAUAUCUAACUAUAAAUUUUAUAAUAAAAUAUUAUUUUCGGAUAACAACAGAAUAUAUCUAAGAAUUAUCUUAUGUUUUAAAACAUGUUUUUUAUUUUUGGAAAUUUUAUUAUAUUUAUUUACAGUCAAUUAUCUAAUAUAAUAUAUAAAUAUAAUACUAUUAAUAGAAAUUCGUUUUUAAUUAUUUAUAUUAUAGAUAAUUCUUAUUAUUAUUAAAUUUAAUCACUUAUUUAAUCAGAUAGAUUUUAAAUUCAUUUUAUGUUCGACUAAUUUAUAUAAUUUAUUCAUUAAGGGUAUAAACGAUUUAUUAUUAAUUUUAAAUCACUUUUUAAUAAGAUAGAUUUAAAAUUCGUUUUUAUUUUUUGACUAAUUUAUAUAAUUAUUCAUUAAGGAUAUAAACGAUAUUAACCGCUCUAAUUAUAAUUCAAAUAAUUUAUCUAACUAUAAAAAUAUAUAAUAAAAAUAUACUUAAAUACAUAAAAUAUAUACAAAUUAUAAAAAUACAUAACAAAUAUAUAAAAUAUGUCAGAUUAUUUUAUAUAAAAUACAUAAUAUUAUAAUCAAAAUCUAGUACAUAUUUUAAAAAGUCAAUACUAUUUGGUAAUGACACAUAAAUAUUCAACAACAUGCAUUGUCUUUAUUCAUUGAUUUGAUUCCAAUUGUGUAGUGUGGAAAAUCUGAAAGUUAUACAGUAAUGACACAUGUCAAAAUUCCUUUUUAACAUUACAAGUAUAAGCAUCGUUUCCUUUGGAUACAAUCUAUUUCUUUUUUUUUGGUCAAAACAACAAAUUAUCACCCUACUGACACAUGUCAAAAUACUUUUCUAACAUAUGUUACAUACCAGUAAUCAUUGUUUCCUUGAAUACGAUGCUUUUUUUUUGACAACACAACAAAAUAUCAAUAAAAUUGAUUAUGUUGUCUAAAGAAUAGGGAAAUUUACACUAUGGAUUCUUUCUAGUAUUUGCUUGUGUAUGUGUAUAUAUAGAGGUAUACAGACCAAGAUAUAGAAUUAUAAAAGACACACUCAUUAAAAUAGGAUCAGUCUAAUAAGAAAGACAAUGUUGGUCUUAUCGAUCAUUUUAUCGUUAGGAUUUGUCUUCCUCUCUAUAAUUUUGAUUCAUUAUGUUUCAGUAUCUAAGCAAAAUGAAACAAAAGAUAAUAACUCAUCGCUAAGUGGUAGCAUGGGAUGGCCGUUUAUUGGAGAAACCAUUUCUUUCUUCAAACCUCAUAGAUCAGACUCCAUUGGCACAUUCUUGCAACAACGUGUUUCACGGUAACAAUGACUUAUUUUCUUUAACUGAUCAUCUUGUUUAUAUAAAUUGCCCCGAAAAAUAUCACAGAAAACUAGAAGCAAUAUCAUUUUGAUUGGAGAAUAAUCUCCAUAGUAAUACAAACGAAACUCUAUGUGCAAGAGAAAUCUCUCUGAAUUUUUGCAUAUAUGACAUUCUUGUUUUCUGACCAAAUUUUGGUUAUUGUUGAUAAAAAGAAAUCCAAUAGAAAAAAGUUGGAUACUGUAAAUCUGUAUUUGUAAUAAUACAAGAUAAUACCUUAUCUAAAUUGGAGAUCAUUAAAAAUUGUGAAAGUUUUUUUUUCAGGUAUGGAAAAGUUUUUAUGUCAAAUCUAUGCGGUGGAAAAGCAAUAGUGUCAUGUGACCAAGAACUCAACAUGUUCAUACUUCAAAACGAAGGGAAGUUAUUUACAUCGGAUUAUCCAAAAGCGAUGCAUGACAUUCUCGGCGAAUAUUCCCUCCUACUAGCCACCGGAGAAAUUCACAGGAAACUAAAAAAUGUUAUCAUUAGCUUCAUCAAUCUCACAAAGUCGAAACCCGAGUUUCUUCUCUGCGCAGAGAACCUCGCUAUAUCGAUGCUAGAGUCAUGGAAAAAUUGCAGAGAAAUCGAAUUCCAUAGAGAAGUAAAAAUGGUAAUCAAUUUAUUAUAGAGUCAUUAACCUUGAUUUAGUACAUCUUUUUUUGAUUCUGGUAUCUUUCUUGUGGUUGAAUUAUUCAGUUUACUAUGAGUGUUAUGGUAAACCAACUAUUGAGCAUCAAACCAGAAGAUCCAGCAAGACGUUAUGUAUUACAAGAUUUUUUAACUUAUAUGAAAGGGUUUGUAUCGUUACCAGUACUGCUUCCAGGAACGGCCUAUACAAACGCAAUUAAGGUUAUAUCCAAUCCUAUUACAUUAAAUCCUCCAAGAUAACAAAAAAGUUGAGCUCAUUGAAAUUUUAAUUUCACGGAUUAACGUUUUGAUUUUUUUUCCUUUUGCGUUUUUUUUGGGUCAAACUGUCGUACGUUUUCCUUUGCGUUUAAAAUAUAAAAUAUAACUGAGCUAUUUUGUAAGAAUUAAAAUAUGUAAAUCCACUUUUAGGGUUUCACAGUUCAGCUAUGUCCAAUUUUUUUGGGGUUAAAAGCUAUAUCCACGUACUUGCGUCAGGCAUUUUCGUACGUUUUACUUUUAGACACAUUUAUAUUGGUGUUACAAAAAAAGACACAUUUAUAUAUGCAGUUGCAUAGCAUAUAUAAUAUAAUAUAAAAUAAUAUAUAGUCAUCAAAAAAAAUUUUGAACAAAUAUAUAGUUAUCAAUUAUUUUCAAUGUUUGCUAGGCUAGGAAGAGAUUGUCCACGAGGGUUAUGGGCAUGAUAAAACAAAGAGAACAUGAAGAACGAGAGAUGAAGAAGGGAUUAAGAGAAGAAGAUUUUCUAGAUGUGAUCAUGUCAAAUGAGGAUCUAAAUUAUGAAGAGAAAGUUAGCAUUGUAUUGGACAUUUUGCUUGGAGGCUUUGAAACAAGUGCCACUCUUCUUUCCUUGGUUGUCUAUUUUCUCGCAAAAUCUCCAAAUGUUCUUCAAAAACUCAAGGUUUAGUACUUAUAUCUUUUCUCCUUAUCUAUAGAUAUUUGCAAUGCUUAGCUUAAUUAUCCAUGCAUGUGAAUGUGUGCAGGAAGAACAUGAAUCAAUUAGAGCCAAGAAAGGAGAUGAAAAACUCUUGAACUGGGAAGAUUAUCAGAAGAUGGAAUUCACCCAACGUGUACCGAUCCCAUAAUUCUUUUUCAUUUUUUCUUUUUAUCAAAAAUGUUUUGGUAAACAAGUUCAAAUAUUUAUAUUCUAAUUUAAAAUCAUAGGAUAUAUAUUGAUCUUUAGUUUUUGAAUGUGUUCUUCUUACAAGUACUUUUUGCAUAAUUGAUCGAAUUUACAGGUGAUGUCUGAAGCACUGCGAUGUGGAAAUAUUGUCAAGACGGUACAUCGAAAAGCUACCCAUGAUAUUAAAUUCAAAGGUUAAUUAACUUUGAUCAACUGGUUUUUUUUAAAUUACUCCCUCUGUUUUCUAAUAUAAGUCGUUUUAGAAUUGUGCACAUAGAUUAAGAAAAUCAUUAAUUUUUUAUAUUUUCUAAACAAAAACAUCAUUAAUUAUUUACUUAACCACAAAUCAACCAAUAAUAAAAUAGAAGGUCUAUUAUCAAUGGUCAUAUAACAUUAAGUGUUAAUAAAUUUUACAUAGAAAACUGAAAACGUCAUAUAAUUUAGAACAUAAAAAUUUCUCUAAAACGACUUAUAUUAAAAAACGGAGGGAGUACUAGUUAAAAGCAAUAUUAAAUUAAAUUUGUAAUUUUGACCCCAAAAAAUAAAUUUGUAAUAUGCUUGAUUGACAGAAUAUGUGAUUCCAAAAGGAUGGAAGGUGUUUCCUAUUUUCACAGCAGUACAUCUUGAUCCAUCUCUCCAUGAAAAUCCUUAUGAAUUUAAUCCCAUGAGAUGGACUGUAAGUACAAUAACAGAUGCAUUCAAAUGGUAAGCAGAAAUAAAGGUAAACUGAAAGAAGAAAUUAAUAUUGUUUCUUGAAAACUAUAUAAAUAGGACAAGGGGAAGAUGAAUAAGAAAACGACGGCGUUUGGAGGAGGAGUAAGGGUAUGUCCUGGUGGUGAACUUGGAAAACUCCAGAUUGCUUUCUUCCUUCAUCAUCUUGUUCUCUCUUAUAGGUUUGUCUCCCUAGCUCUAAUCACUCUCUCUCUCUCUCUCUCUAGUUAACUAAUGAUUUGGACUCUUUAUCCGACAUAAUCAUCUAUCAUAUUAUGUUUAAUUCAUAGCUUAAAUGUUUUAUACCAUUUAAGUUUCGAAAAUUAUCAUUAGCUCAUGUGGAAACUUUUUGGUACAUUGGUAGGUGGAAAAUCAAGUCAGAUGAAAUGCCAAUAGCGCAUCCUUACGUAGAGUUCAAGAGAGGCAUGCUUUUGGAGAUCGACCCAACAACUUAAAUCCAUGAAGAUUAGCUGCGUUAAUAAUGAAUCCAUCUGAUAUUGAAAUUUAAAUUAACCUUCAGAAAUUAUAAAUCUAGUGCUUUAAUUAUGUCGUAUUUUAAUUAGUUGCUUCCGUAGCAAAAUCAUGUAUGAUAUUGAUAUAUAUUACUUAGCGGUUCUUUUGAAUCUUGCUCUUUCUCUCAUGUAUAUUGUUUGAAUAAAGUUGGAGCUGACUCUAUUUUUAUGUUAAUGGUAAUGUUGGUUUGAACAAUUUUUAAAAUUAAUGGUAAUGCACUAUUGGAUUAAGUUAGUGAGUGAAGUUCUCAACUCCUUGUUUGUCGUUUACUAUCCAUUGAUGAAUGAUUGAAUUACUUACGUUACGUAUCUCUAUUUUACAUUUUUGCUGAAAAAGUUACAAAUCAAACACAUAGGACAUAACCAGAUGUAGUUAGAAAGAUAGAGGAUCCCAAGUCUAUAAUAUAGUCUCUUAACACGGAACCGAUUUAUAAUUGACUAGUGUGUCUCCCGUGUUGCGCACCAAGCAAAUCUCUUAUGUUUUUAUUUUUUAUAUUUAAAGAUAUUAAAGACAGGAUUUGAUUAACAAACUGAAAUUAGAUUAAAUACUCAUACAAGACCAUUUUACUUUCUCAGCAUCCUUACGUUUUGACUUUGUCCUUUCAGACCCUGAAGUUAUAUUAAAUACUCACAUGUAAUUUACAAAUAAGACUAAGUCUAACUUAUAUACAGCUAAAACUACAUUUAUAAAAUAACUUUGAUUAAUCAUAAGAAUAUGAGUAUACUUAAACAAACCAUUAAACUUAUCAUGUAUCUCUGAUAAACCGCAACAUAUAAACUUAUGUUAUUAGCUCACUGAAUACAAAUAUUAGUUUGGAGCUUUUGUCUUACUUCUUUAUGUCUUGUUGUUCAUGUGUUUUCCCCCUGUUCGGAAACUCGCUAGGCGCAACGCGUGCGGCUGACCUAGGUCUAGCGAGUUAACAUAAAAGCGGGAUAAACUCGGGGAUUACGCGGGGCGGAAUUUUUGAUAUAUUUAACUAUUAGAUCCAUGAAAUAUUUACUUUAGCAAAGAAGACAACAAAGUCAAUGUAGCCUAACGGUUUGGUAAGUUAUAAUGACUGCCUCAUCUUGUGUUCUAACUCCCAAAUCACUAUUUUUUAAUUUUUUCCUGUUCGUAUUUAGUGAAGGCUGGUAUCGUAAUUUCGCUUUUAUCUUCUUCCUUCACCUCCAGACCUAAUUUCACGCAACUUUUUCAUUCCUCAACAAUUUUCAUCAAAUUUUGGUAUGAUUUGCUUCGUUUCAGUUUUGUUUUCUUGUUAUAAGUAUCAAUUUAUGAUAAAUCUAUGAUAUAGACAUCGUUUCAAGUUUGAAAAGGUCAAAACAGAUUUUUUUCUUCUUACUCCGAUUUUUCUGGCCGCGUAGAGUGUAUUCGCCACGGAACUCUUCCGAUCAGCGUUGUAGCGGCGCGUAAUCGUCCACUACGGGCGCGUUUUAGAACAUGGGUUCUAUCUUUUUCCUUUUUAGCCGGAUCUUACUCUAGAUCUCUUUUCAUUAUUGAAUUAAUCACAAGUAAUUCAAAGCCAUCAUAUCCACUUUUCUUGAAUCUUCAUAGCCACAAAGAAGAAAGAUAACAUAAUGGAACUCGGCUGAUUCGUACCACUAUAUACAGGUCCAAUUUUGUAUUAUAGUAUUGAAAUUGAAAAGGAAUUAGGAGUAUAAUUUUUUCUUAAUCUAUUUACUUUUGAUCGAGACUUUGCUUCCAUUUGUCUACCGAAUUUUACAAAUAUAUAGGAGCAGGAAAAAAAGCUCGUGGAAGGAGGAUUAUGGAUAGUGGGAUACAGUUUUUGACAUUUUAAUUAUUUUUAAAUUUUGUAAAUAUAAAUUAUGUGGUAAAUUUUGAUUGGUGAAGUGACUUACAAUUUAAUAUAUAAAUGAUGUGUUUUCUUUUAAAGGUCGUUACAUGAGAACUCUAGGAAGAUAUAAUUUGGAGGGCAAGUUACCAUUAUGAACUUGAAAAAACUUUGUCGAGAAGAAGGAUUAACUUGCAUGGACUUAGACACAUUGAUUGAUAACGGCAAUUUUUACUCAAAGCAGAGUGAAUCAGCGAACACAGUAACACAUAUAUUCUUUUUACAUGAAAGAUCCGAUCAUUCUCGGAGAAACCUCAGUAAGUUAUAUCAAACUAAAUUCCCAAAAUAUAUUGUAAGAAGAAGAACAAGUAGAGAAGGGUUGUCGAUCUGAUCUCUACUCGUUAGUAGAGUUUAAUUCUUGUCUGGAUCGGUGCACGGCAAAUCGGACACACUUGAAGAUCAGGUCCACAGUCGCAGCAAGUCUUGUAUCAAAACAGAAAACGAAGUUACUUUAAUGUUUCAAUCGAUUUAGUAAAGAAGAUGAUUAACAUUAUGUUUGUAGGAUUUUACCUGAUGUCCACAACCAAAUGCCAUGUCUUUAGGAUUGCUCAAACAAAUCGGACAUAUCUGUUACAUAGAACCAAUAACAUGAACUCUCGAACCUUGGUUAUAACAUAAUUUUAAUAAAUAUAAUUUUAAUAAAUAUAAUUUUAUUUUUUUAAAGUACCCGGUUAUCAGAAGCUGAGGUUGUAGCGGGUGGCGCAGGACUAGACCUUACAGUAUAGCUUUCAGUAGGAUAAGAAGGUACACUCGGUUUAAAACUUGGAACACGAUUAGCCUUUGGCUUAUUGUAGGACGAUGCUCCACCAUGCAUUGGAGGUGGAAGAGGGAACCGUUCCGCGAUCUUCCCGUUUCUUCUUCUGCAAGAAAGAAAAGUUAACAAAGAAGAGAAAGUUGACAACUAUUAUGUUUAGAGAUUUACCCUAGAAGGCUAAGCUCUAAGGUGGCCUUGUACUGUUGAGGAAUCUCCAUGAGAGCAGAAAGAGCAAACUCUGUUUCUUUCAAGGACUGAUCUUUGUUCUUUGCCAUGAUCUCUGUGAAGUUGACGAACUAGAAACAGAACAUCACAUAAAAUGACUUUGAUCUUUGAUGUCUUUAGCUUAAAGAUCACUUACUUGGAAGUUAUCAAAGGCUCGUGCGGGGAUAUUAUCAUCAAACUCCCUCAUCAUGUCCCAUGGUCCAUCCCCAACGCCGACCAAGACGAUUGAUAGAGGAAGCUUACUGCCGUAGACAACAAAAAUCAAAUCAGAUACAAAGAGAGAGAACUUCAAACAAAGUGGAAAGAUUCAGACAAUAUUACAACCUCGCUUGCACGAUAGCAUCCACAGUCUUCAGUUCUUGUGGACUUAACUGUCCAUUUUCAGUGUCAACGCUUCUUGUAACCUGAAGUAACCCAGUCAAUAAAGGCUUCUUGUCAUUGACAAAAAAAAAAACAAUGUUCAAGAAAUAGCUAUACACUAGUUAGGCAUUUUAUAUGAGAUUAUUGAUUAGGUGGGUGCCUAAACCGAUUUUUUAAUCAAUCGUUCUGAAAAUUAUUUCGUUUAGAUCCGAUUUGCUUUGCUGAAUAGACCUAAGCCUCGCCUAGACCGAUUUUUAAUGUUCAAAAAAUAGCUAGACACAAAUUUGUCUAAUUUUUUUUUGUAUAUCUAAUACUGAUAACUUAUCACAAUCAUUUUAUUAUUAAACUCAAAAAUUAAAAUAUCUUAAAAUAAAUGUAAAAUAUAUAUAUAAUAAAUCAAUAAUUCGUUUACGCCUAGACUCCAUAAUCAGCCUAGCCUAGUUACUAAUCCUCUAUAAAGCGCCUAGUUAUAGGCUAGCGAUUUCUUAAACAUCAAAAAACAGAGGAUCAUAACAGUAGUGUUGGUACCUGACCAUCUGCUAUUAUCACUAGGACGUGAUACUGGCCACCACUCUGCUCAACAAUGGUCAUGGCCAUAUCAAUGAUCGGAGCAAACGAGGUGGGCCCUGUAACAUGUUCCAACUUAUUUCAAAUUAAGAUCUUUGUUAACAUUUAAAAGGCCCAAAAAAGGGAAAAGAAACAAAACCUGCAAGCUUAAGCUGAGGGACAAUCUCUUUAUACCGACCAAGCACUUCCUCAAACCCAUUACAGAACCUAUCCUCUGGAUUGAAACUAAACACGUCUUGAUCAUGCGUUGACGCAUCACCAAAACCAUAGCAUGGAAUCAAGUUGUCCUCGUCGAAAGCGGCUAAGGUUCUUCCUAUGAUAGCUAUGGCUUGCUCAUAAGGGUUGGAAGUGUUGCCUAUGAAGUGUAGGCUUUUCCUAUUGAAAGACCUCGCCCCUGUUAUAUCAAACAACAACACACAAUAAAGUGUAAAAAUCAUUUGAUGCAUUACACUCAAAAGACAGAAUGUUGUUGCAAUCUCAAAGACCUGUCCACUCGUUGCUCUUAGUGAAAUCAAUACCGACAAUGAGGUUUGAAGAUUCUAGACCCGCAUGAGCAAGAGCCUCUGUCACCUAAAGGAAAUAGAACAAUAAUGUGAGGCUUUUUUUUCUUUGUAAUCAUCAAGAAGCAAACUAGAGAUUCAGGUUGUCACCUGAUCCAAAGAGGAGUAAUCAUCAGAGAUUUUGGAGUACUUGCGCUCCAACCUCUUCUUGUCAUUGCCAUAACUUUGAGAAGGCGGCGGCUGAGAGUAAGGCUGAGUAGUAUAUGAAGGUGAAGGAGGUUGCACAUACUCGGGAGGUGGAGCAUAAGAAGGUGGAGGAGGAUAGGACUGAUGAGAAGCCCAUGGAGAUGAAGGUGGUGAUGAAGCUGACCUAAACGAUGAUGAAGACCGCUGUCUCCAUUUCUCCUUAGAGUUCCCUGUCCCCAUCAAACUCGAAAAAAGUAAUAACCUUUUGGAUUCAACUCAAACCCUCUCAAGGUCAAUUUAGUAACCUACAAAACAAAAGAUUCAGAAAGAUUUUGUAUUUAGAGUAUAUUGAUGAAUCCCAGAAAGAAAAAAAAGUCAGAAACUUUAUGGAAUACUAUAUAACCUGAGGAUUAGUGAAAGAGUAGUUUUUUUUCAGACAAAGCUACGAACUUUACAAUUAGUUUCACUGUCCGAACUGAACCAAGACUGAAUCUGCCGACAUUUGGCGGAAAAAAACAUAACACCAGUGACUCGUUUUUGAUCGAGGAGGAGUGUGUGAU
rnacentral:lncRNA from 1 species